AUACGGAGGAUGCAAGCGUUAUCCGGAUUUAUUGGGUUUAAAGGGUGCGUAGGUGGUUUGCUAAGCGGGAGGUGAAAUGCCGGCGCUCAACGUCGGAAGUGCCUCCCGAACUGGUGAACUGGAAUGACUCUGCCGUGGGAGGAAUGUGUAGUGUAGCGGUGAAAUGCUUAGAGAUUACACAGAACACCGAUUGCGAAGGCAUCUCACGAAGGGUUGAUUGACGCUGAGGCACGAAAGCGUGGGGAUCAAACAGGAUUAGAUACCCUGGUAGUCCACGCAGUAAACGAUGAUGGCUAACCGCUGGGCUUAUCAGUUCAGUGGCCAAGCGAAAGCGAUAAGCCAUCCACCUGGGGAGUACGACCGCAAGGUUGAAACUCAAAGGAAUUGACGGGG
rnacentral:rRNA from 1 species